UUAAGCGACUAAGCGUACACGGUGGAUGCCCUGGCAGUCAGAGGCGAUGAAGGACGUGCUAAUCUGCGAUAAGCGUCGGUAAGGUGAUAUGAACCGUUAUAACCGGCGAUUUCCGAAUGGGGAAACCCAGUGUGAUUCGUCACACUAUCAUUAACUGAAUCCAUAGGUUAAUGAGGCGAACCGGGGAACUGAAACAUCUAAGUACCCCGAGGAAAAGAAAUCAACCGAGAUUCCCCCAGUAGCGGCGAGCGAACGGGGAGCGCCCAGAGCCUGAAUCAGUGUGUGUGUUAGUGGAAGCGUCUGGAAAGGCGCGCGAUACAGGGUGACAGCCCCGUACACAAAAAUGCACAUACUGUGAGCUCGAUGAGUAGGGCGGGACACGUGGUAUCCUGUCUGAAUAUGGGGGGACCAUCCUCCAAGGCUAAAUACUCCUGACUGACCGAUAGUGAACCAGUACCGUGAGGGAAAGGCGAAAAGAACCCCGGCGAGGGGAGUGAAAAAGAACCUGAAACCGUGUACGUACAAGCAGUGGGAGCACAGAGCAAUCUGUGUGACUGCGUACCUUUUGUAUAAUGGGUCAGCGACUUAUAUUCUGUAGCAAGGUUAACCGAAUAGGGGAGCCGAAGGGAAACCGAGUCUUAACUGGGCGUUAAGUUGCAGGGUAUAGACCCGAAACCCGGUGAUCUAGCCAUGGGCAGGUUGAAGGUUGGGUAACACUAACUGGAGGACCGAACCGACUAAUGUUGAAAAAUUAGCGGAUGACUUGUGGCUGGGGGUGAAAGGCCAAUCAAACCGGGAGAUAGCUGGUUCUCCCCGAAAGCUAUUUAGGUAGCGCCUCGUGAAUUCAUCUCCGGGGGUAGAGCACUGUUUCGGCAAGGGGGUCAUCCCGACUUACCAACCCGAUGCAAACUGCGAAUACCGGAGAAUGUUAUCACGGGAGACACACGGCGGGUGCUAACGUCCGUCGUGAAGAGGGAAACAACCCAGACCGCCAGCUAAGGUCCCAAAGUCAUGGUUAAGUGGGAAACGAUGUGGGAAGGCCCAGACAGCCAGGAUGUUGGCUUAGAAGCAGCCAUCAUUUAAAGAAAGCGUAAUAGCUCACUGGUCGAGUCGGCCUGCGCGGAAGAUGUAACGGGGCUAAACCAUGCACCGAAGCUGCGGCAGCGACGCUGAUGCGUUGUUGGGUAGGGGAGCGUUCUGUAAGCCUGUGAAGGUGUGCUGUGAGGCAUGCUGGAGGUAUCAGAAGUGCGAAUGCUGACAUAAGUAACGAUAAAGCGGGUGAAAAGCCCGCUCGCCGGAAGACCAAGGGUUCCUGUCCAACGUUAAUCGGGGCAGGGUGAGUCGACCCCUAAGGCGAGGCCGAAAGGCGUAGUCGAUGGGAAACAGGUUAAUAUUCCUGUACUUGGUGUUACUGCGAAGGGGGGACGGAGAAGGCUAUGUUGGCCGGGCGACGGUUGUCCCGGUUUAAGCGUGUAGGCUGGUUUUCCAGGCAAAUCCGGAAAAUCAAGGCUGAGGCGUGAUGACGAGGCACUACGGUGCUGAAGCAACAAAUGCCCUGCUUCCAGGAAAAGCCUCUAAGCAUCAGGUAACAUCAAAUCGUACCCCAAACCGACACAGGUGGUCAGGUAGAGAAUACCAAGGCGCUUGAGAGAACUCGGGUGAAGGAACUAGGCAAAAUGGUGCCGUAACUUCGGGAGAAGGCACGCUGAUAUGUAGGUGAAGUCCCUCGCGGAUGGAGCUGAAAUCAGUCGAAGAUACCAGCUGGCUGCAACUGUUUAUUAAAAACACAGCACUGUGCAAACACGAAAGUGGACGUAUACGGUGUGACGCCUGCCCGGUGCCGGAAGGUUAAUUGAUGGGGUCAGCGCAAGCGAAGCUCUUGAUCGAAGCCCCGGUAAACGGCGGCCGUAACUAUAACGGUCCUAAGGUAGCGAAAUUCCUUGUCGGGUAAGUUCCGACCUGCACGAAUGGCGUAAUGAUGGCCAGGCUGUCUCCACCCGAGACUCAGUGAAAUUGAACUCGCUGUGAAGAUGCAGUGUACCCGCGGCAAGACGGAAAGACCCCGUGAACCUUUACUAUAGCUUGACACUGAACAUUGAGCCUUGAUGUGUAGGAUAGGUGGGAGGCUUUGAAGUGUGGACGCCAGUCUGCAUGGAGCCGACCUUGAAAUACCACCCUUUAAUGUUUGAUGUUCUAACGUUGACCCGUAAUCCGGGUUGCGGACAGUGUCUGGUGGGUAGUUUGACUGGGGCGGUCUCCUCCUAAAGAGUAACGGAGGAGCACGAAGGUUGGCUAAUCCUGGUCGGACAUCAGGAGGUUAGUGCAAUGGCAUAAGCCAGCUUGACUGCGAGCGUGACGGCGCGAGCAGGUGCGAAAGCAGGUCAUAGUGAUCCGGUGGUUCUGAAUGGAAGGGCCAUCGCUCAACGGAUAAAAGGUACUCCGGGGAUAACAGGCUGAUACCGCCCAAGAGUUCAUAUCGACGGCGGUGUUUGGCACCUCGAUGUCGGCUCAUCACAUCCUGGGGCUGAAGUAGGUCCCAAGGGUAUGGCUGUUCGCCAUUUAAAGUGGUACGCGAGCUGGGUUUAGAACGUCGUGAGACAGUUCGGUCCCUAUCUGCCGUGGGCGCUGGAGAACUGAGGGGGGCUGCUCCUAGUACGAGAGGACCGGAGUGGACGCAUCACUGGUGUUCGGGUUGUCAUGCCAAUGGCACUGCCCGGUAGCUAAAUGCGGAAGAGAUAAGUGCUGAAAGCAUCUAAGCACGAAACUUGCCCCGAGAUGAGUUCUCCCUGACCCUUUAAGGGUCCUGAAGGAACGUUGAAGACGACGACGUUGAUAGGCCGGGUGUGUAAGCGCAGCGAUGCGUUGAGCUAACCGGUACUAAUGAACCGUGAGGCUUAACCU
rnacentral:rRNA from 1 species